AAUUAACUGCCGAAGACAGCAGGUGCCGUAAGGCAUAAGGAGAAAACGCCUGCCGAGGAAGAUUAGAAUUCGUGAUUAGAAUUUGUAAACCUCUGUGUCUUUGGAUGCAGAGGUUUUUAUU
rnacentral:sRNA from 1 species